UAAGUGUGAUCCUCUCCUCCGGCUUCACCCUGAACAUCUGGGAUGUCCUGUGGUAUUUCCGACAGCAGCAGCUCCUUCGCUCAAACAAUUGAAUAGAAGGAAGCGCUGCUGGCUGACUUUUUCCUCCCUCAGAGACGCACUUCCUCCAGCCCUUCAGUCGAGCUCGAGCGAGGCCGGAGGACGCAGGAGGAACAUGGAGGUCCCGCUCCUACUUUUCUUUCUGCUCUGGAGAUCCAGCUGUGCGUACACAUCUCCAGCCACCUCCACCUUUUCUUCAUCCACACCGCUGGACCUGUCUAACUCCACCCAAACCAUCAGGAGUCCUGGGAACGCUGUCACGGAAAAUCUGUCACCUCCAGAUGUUUCCCCUGCAGUCACCCACCUAUCCCCUUUAAAUGGCACAGCUGCUUUUACCAUGGACCAGUCAGUCGCCUCGGAGACCUUGUCAGGUGGAGGUGACUCCCUAGUCAGGACGGAGGUGGUCACGUCGUUGUACGAGUCAUCGUCCUCCAUCGCUAGAAACCAGUCCGAGUCGAGCGGAGAUGGAGGCGUGACGCUGGGUUCCUCACGUGUGAGCACAGGUGGAGCAACAGACAUCAUAACUGAGCUACAACCCAAGGACGGAUCCACACACCAAACAUCUGCAGCACCCUCAGACAGCACCGCCUCAGCUGCACCCACCACCACCACUCCUCCACCGUCUGCAUCCAGCACCAGCACAUAUAGACCACCCAGGUCUCACAGCCAGACCCCGCCCACAGACACAGACUACACCCUUCAUCCAAACAUCUCAGAGAGUCUGACUCCAGGAGUAUUAUCAACAGCACCAACAGGUGAUGCGGUCCCUGCAAGUAGCACCUCAGCUCCAUCAGUCCCACAAACGAGUACAACAAACACCAGCACCACUGCUGCUGUAACCACACCCUCUACGAGCAGCAUAACAGCGCCUGCUCCAACCACAGCCACCAAAACCACACCUCCUACAGCCACCAGUAGCACCACCCCUGUCACAACUGCAGAGACUACAGUCGCACCAUCAAUAACAACACCAGCAGCUACACACACAACCAUCCCUUUGCCAGCUACAACAGCCAGCUUGACACACACCAUCCAACCCUCCACUCGUGCCUCCACUCCCGCUACAACUACAGCAACCACAGCCACGAACCCGUCUCUAACCACAGCCGUCGAUACCACACCUGCCACUGCCAGUUCCACCACAACCACAGAGACUGCAGCCACACUAUCCAUAACAACACCAGCAACUACACCUACAUCCAUGGCACCAUCUCAUACCACAGUCACCAAAACCACACCACCCACCACUCCCAGUGAUAGUUUCCCAGCUACAACUGCAGAUAGUAGAACCACCAUGAGAUUCAUAACAAUCUCCGCUACAACCACUCCACCUACGACCGCAACAGCAUCUCCUGCUACAACCACCCCACCUACGACUGUAACAGCACCUCCUGCUACAACCACCCCACCUACGACCGCAACAGCAUCUCCCGCUACAACCACCCCACCUACGACCGCAACAGCAUCUCCC
ensembl:lncRNA